UACGUAGGGGGCAAGCGUUGUCCGGAUUUAUUGGGCGUAAAGAGCGUGUAGGCGGCCAGACAGGUCCGUUGUGAAAACUCGAGGCUCAACCUCGAGACGCCGAUGGAAACCGUCUGGCUAGAGUCCGGAAGAGGAGAGUGGAAUUCCUGGUGUAGCGGUGAAAUGCGCAGAUAUCAGGAAGAACACCCGUGGCGAAGGCGGCUCUCUGGGACGUGACUGACGCUGAGACGCGAAAGCGUGGGGAGCAAACAGG
rnacentral:rRNA from 1 species